rnacentral:rRNA from 1 species
UACGGGGGGGGCAAGCGUUGUUCGGAAUUAUUGGGCGUAAAGAGCUCGUAGGCGGUCUGUCGCGUCUGCUGUGAAAUCCCGAGGCUCAACCUCGGGCUUGCAGUGGGUACGGGCAGGCUAGAGUGCGGUAGGGGAGAAUGGAAUUCCCGGUGUAGCGGUGAAAUGCGCAGAUAUCGGGAGGAACACCGGUGGCGAAGGCGGUUCUCUGGGCCUGACCUGACGCUGAGGAGCGAAAGCGUGGGGAGCGAACAGG